CAGAAAAAAAAAAAUACAUACAUACAAACGAUGAACAAACAAACAAAAAAUAAAUCAAUAAAAAAGAAAGAAAAAUAUCAAAUAAUCAAAUAAGAUAAAGAUAAUCAAAUAAGAUAAAAAUCCAAACAGGCAACCAGAGAUAUAUGGUUGGAACAGGGAAGGGGCGACGCCAGAGGGAAGCUAGCUGGCCAGUGUCCUGAAUCUGAAGUGUGACACUACAGUCAUCGGACACAGCUGGCAGAGGGUGCAUGGUAACUACUGCAUGGCGUCGACUGCAUGGCGAAGCUGUUGCAACUUCUUGGCAUCAUCUUGGGAGACAGAUGGACCGAGCCCAUGAGAGGAACGCGCACCAGUGUAGCGUGAUGACCGUUUUUGAGCAAAUUCUCGUUUAAAUGUAUGCAGACUGGAGUUAUGGUGAGGCAAUGGUCGUCAAAACAAACCAGAAAGGUAAGAGAUGACAACUUUUUCAAGAUGGCGACACAAAGACGAUGACGACGGACGUAUCUUUUUUUUUUAUCCCUAGAAGGAGAAAAAAAAAAUGAAUCAUAAUCCUGCUGCUGAGAUAAAUUGUUAAUCUUUGUUGUUGUCUUUUUUGUAUUGAUAUUAAAAGAAGAAACAAAUUU
rnacentral:lncRNA from 1 species